rnacentral:rRNA from 1 species
UACGGAGGGUGCAAGCAUUAAUCGGAUUUAUUGGGCGUAAAGGGCGCGUAGGCGGAUUUAUAAGUCAGAUGUGAAAUUUCUGGGCUCAACCUGGAAGCGGCAUUUGAAACUGUAGAUCUAGAGGAUAGGCGGAGAAAACAGAAUUCCACAAGUAGCGGUGAAAUGCGUAGAUAUGUGGAAGAAUACCGGUGGCGAAGGCGGUUUUCUAGCUUAGACCUGACGCUGAAGCGCGAAAGCAAGGGGAUCAAAC